rnacentral:rRNA from 2 species
CAAGGGGCGCAGCCUGAUGGAGCACACCGCGUGAGUUGAAGAAGGGUUUCCGGCUUCGUAAAGCUUCUGUUGUUGGAGAAGAACGUGCGUGAGAGUAACUGUUCACGCAGUGACGGUAUCCAACCAGAAAGUCACGGCUAACUACGUGCCAGCAGCCGCGGUAAUACGUAGGUGGCAAGCGUUAUCCGGAUUUAUUGGGCGUAAAGCGAGCGCAGGCGGUUGCUUAGGUCUGAUGUGAAAGCCUUCGGCUUAACCGAAGAAGUGCAUCGGAAACCGGGCGACUUGAGUGCAGAAGAGGACAGUGGAACUCCAUGUGUAGCGGUGGAAUGCGUAGAUAUAUGGAAGAACACCAGUGGCGAAGGCGGCUGUCUGGUCUGCAACUGACGCUGAGGCUCGAAAGCAUGGGUAGCGAACAGGAUUAGAUACCCUGGUAGUCCAUGCCGUAAACGAUGAGUGCUAGGUGUUGGAGGGUUUCCGCCCUUCAGUGCCGGAGCUAACGCAUUAAGCACUCCGCCUGGGGAGUACGACCGCAAGGUUGAAACUCA